rnacentral:lncRNA from 12 species
AUUGCUGGGGAGUUUAAUUUGCCUACAAAUGUGAAGAUGGUACAAUUACAAAGCAAAAAUAAAAGAGUCUUCUAGGCACAUGGGCAGGACCAGAUCACUUCUUACACCUCUAAGUCUGUUUGCUUGUUUUCAAAGUCUUAUCUCAUUUAGUAUACCUUAGUCAACUAUUAAGUACAUAAAAUGUUGAAUGCCAGGUCCACACACCAGGUUUGCUUUUAGGAAUAAUGAUAUUUCAAUGAUGUUUCUACCUUUCUAUCUGAUUCAUUCUUGUGUUUCAGAGCAAACAGUCCCUUUGGAGCUCAGAGCUACCUUCUAAAUUUGAUCUGAACUUAUGUUCCGUCUCCCUCUAUUUAGACUGAAGAUAUGUGGUAUUACUCUGUGUGCCCCGGUGAUUCUAAUUUCUACUCAGGACCAGCUUCUUCCUUGGUGAAUGACUCAGCAGUUUACAAUCUGACAUUUUAAGAGAACCACUUUGCUAUUAAACUGAAGCCAUAUAUUAAAGUUAAACCCCGAAGCCAGCAUGGGUCCAACAAAGGUUAGACAAAGAUAAGACAAUUUGUCAUACCUACCAGCCUACGAAGUGCACAGCAGAAAUGAAAUGAGAUCCCAGAACCAGAGCAGGCUGGGCCCUUUGACUACAAAUUCUAAAGAGACAAAUGCUUUUCCCGCGACAGCAGCUCUGGCCUCCUCCGACACAACCUUGUUGAUGGACUAUGUGGAAGGAUUCUGUGCUCCAGACCUGAGGCCCGAGUUAGAACAGCGUAUUUAAAGGAGGCUUAAGAGUUGAACUUCUAAAUUGGGAAAGUUGUAAAUUUGAACUGCACAGAAAUGCCGGCCAGGAGGGGCAGCUGAAUGCAGCAGCAGGAACGUGUCGGUAUACGCCUUCUCUGUCUGCGAUUGAUCGACCUGGCCCAUGCAGCAGUACUUACCCAUCCCCCUUUCCUGCCAGAUCCAGUUUCAAGGACUCGGAGCUUCCUCCCUGAGCCAAGAAGACACCCCCGUUCCCCUAGUCCUCAAAUGACUCCAGAGCCAGAGGCACUGCAAAUGACUCAAGCAUCAGGAAAGCCAGAGCCAGGUAAUGAGGUGCGAGAGGAAAGUGCCUAG